rnacentral:tRNA from 1 species
GGCCAAGUGGCGGAAUUGGCAGACGCUCGGGACUUAAAAUCCCGUGUCCGUAAUGGACGUGCGGGUUCGAGUCCCGCCUUGGCUA